CCUGACUCAUCAACCCACGGAGAUAUGAGACAUGAUGAGCUGUUGUUGUCUUAAGCCACAGGGUUUGGAGGUGGCUUGUUCCGCAGCACUGGAUAACAAAACAUGCUGAGACUUGGUAUCGUGGAAGUUAGCCCGGCCAAAUGGAGAACACGUGAGAGGCGUGAGAUGGCACAGCGAUCUGGAUUCUGUAUAGGAGGCUGAAUAGGAGACUGGGAGUAUAGGUCGGGGAGAGGCAUUUACUGGAACUGGAGGUCGGCCAAGUCUAGAUCAGAGCAGUUGAAGGUCAUUCCAUCCUUAUGACUUCUCCUUAAGGCUGUGGAAGCAAUGUGACCAGCAUCUAAGUUCCUGACGCCUUGACUUAACCCAGGAUGAACAAUACCCUAAGCCAUACAACCAAACUGUAAGCUAACAUAAGACCUUUCAUAUUUAAAAAAAAAAUGCCUGUUAUCACCUAAAAAGUGACUUUAAU
rnacentral:lncRNA from 1 species